rnacentral:sRNA from 1 species
UUCACAGAGCUGUUAAAGGCAGAAUGGAAUUUUUACUAGGAAGAGCCACGGGCGCCUGUUUUCUGCGAGAGGUGGCAGCCAGGAACAAAAAAAGUUGCUGAAUAUUGAGACUGUAACCAUUUUUGCCUUGAUGAUGAAUCUUCUUGACUUGGGACCUAAGAAUCUCCCAAUUUACUGAAUACAUGGAUGUACACAUAAGGUGCUAAACCUAAGACAGAGAAAGUACGAUCAUGCUUUCAAGCCUUCCCUGGAUACACAGUGAGUACAGGAUAGCCUGUGCAGUGAGAAACCCUUUCUUGGAAAAUAAUAAAAAUAAAAUAUGAAGUGAGUCACAGAGAUUCAGAGGUCCUCUGUGUAUAUAUUUUGCCUACCAGUUUAGUGUUUGUAUUGGAUUAUCGAGAGUGUGAACCAAUGGGUCUCUCAUCCUUGUUCCUCUUUUGGGGGUGUUUCCUUCUGUAUGUUUGCUUUGUCCAAUUCUGAUGGAAUGUCUUUUGUUUUAUUUCAUCACAUUUAAUUUUGUUUACUACUAUCCCAAAGAAGUCUGUUUUUCAAUGAAAGACAGAAAGGGGGUUGGUCCUGAUGAAACAGGAUAUGGAGCUCUCACUCUAUCCCAUUUACACUCAAAGGAUAAUUUAAUAUUAAAAGUGGAAGGCAUUGUAUCUUUCAACCAAACAAGAAUAACAAACUUGUAUGAGUAAUGAAAAAACAAGUUAGAAUAGUUAAGGAUUCUCGGAUCUGUAUCGGUACAAUAUGUACAUAUAUGUGACUGUGAAACACUUUGUUUAUGCCGUGUAGCUUUACAAAAGUUAUGAGAUGACUGAAAACAAAUCAUUGGUAGAUAUAUAAAAUAUUUAAAGUUUCAGAAUUUUGUUGUACCGUUAUUAACUGAAUCUAGUACACUCAUUCCAUAUUUUGGAAAUGAUGCCAUUUGGCUCAUGCAGGCUUUCCACAAACAUUGGGUUUCCUAUCUGUUCAUAUCUACUCUCUGCAAAUUUUAUCUUUCCUAGUGAAUAUGAAAAUGAGAUAUGAGAGAGAACUUGAAAAGUUAUAAAAUACAUGUAAACACAAU